AUUGAACGCUGGCGGAAUGCUUUACACAUGCAAGUCGAACGGUAGAGGGGGCAACCCUUGAGAGCGGCGAACGGGUGAGUAACGCGUACGAAACCUACCUUUAAGAGAGGGAUAGCCCUGGGAAACUGGGAGUAAUACCUCAUAGUAUUCAAUAACCGCAUGGUUUAUGGAUUAAAGCUGCGGCGCUUAAAGAUGGUCGUGCGUCUGAUUAGCUAGUUGGUAGGGUAACGGCCUACCAAGGCGACGAUCGAUAGGUGGUCUGAGAGGACGAUCACCCAGACUGGGACUGAGACACGGCCCAGACUCCUACGGGAGGCAGCAGUCGGGAAUUUUGCGCAAUGGGGGAAACCCUGACGCAGCAAUACCGCGUGUGGGAUGAAGGCCUUCGGGUCGUAAACCACUUUUCUCGGGGACGAUAAUGACGGUACCCGAGGAAUAAGCCACGGCUAACUACGUG
rnacentral:rRNA from 1 species